rnacentral:lncRNA from 1 species
AACAGAAUGGCAAUUUUCGUGUGGUGUUAAUUUCCGUGGAAGAAGAAAAGGCUCGACUCUCUGUCCUAUUUUUCAUGAAUACUGGAAGUAGGGAAUAAACCUGGAGUCUCACGGGUGAAAAGAGACAUUUCCAUAUCACCAGACCACAAACGUGGAUGGAGUUUCACUCUUAUGGCCCAGGCUGGAGUGCAAUGGCGUGAUCUCAGCUCACCACAACCUCUGCCUCCCGGGUUCAAGUGGUUCUCCUACCUCAGCCUCCUGAGUAGCUGCGAUUACAGAUACAUAGCUCUGGCCAAGAAGUGUGGUUUUGAAGAGCCCAAACUGUAUCUGUUACCUGAUUUCAAAGAAUAUUCCACCUAGGAGAGACCCAGGUCCUGCAGACUUCCUCUGGACACUUUUGGCAGUCAUUGUUCCCAGCUGAUUCUGCAACAGAUGAAGGACGGAGGAUAGAAUCAUGAAUAGCAACAUCUUAAUUGCUGACUGGGUGUUGAUUCUAAGGAUACCCCCAAUAAACAUCUUUCGUGCUAAAGCCCAUUCCAGAAUUUACUUCCCAGCUAUCUUUGAUGUUCAUAUUGUCAGAGGUGGUGGCCGCUGAAACAGGCAAAGACAUGGAGCAUAUCUUGGGUCCAGGUAAAGGAGGUGGGUGCACACAAGUGAAAAGAUGUUGCUGAAGUCACGUGGCUUCAAGCAGUAGAGCUGACUGUCCUCUAGUCCAGUUGUCCCUACAGGAUAAAAGCUUCUCUCCAUUACAGAGACCUUGGGAGUCCAGAGGAAGGUCUUUUUACCAUCAGCAUUCUCUACUGUGUUCAAUGACUGUCAGCCAAAGAUGGCCAGGUUCUCUACUGUGAUGGUGAAUUUUAUGUGUCAAUUUGACUGGACCAUGGGAUGCCCAGCUUUCCUUCAGAAAGAAAUGCAUUCAAAGAACCUACAUUCACAACAUAAAGAAAUAAAGCACACACAAGACCGCCAAGCAUUAAGAUUCUCCUGUGGAGCCAGGCUACAAUCCUUUAAAUGAAGACAGACAGCUAGGUGGCUGCAGCCCAGCGCUACACCUCACCCCUCCCUCAGUGUCAUGCAGAAAAAAUGUAUUCAGAACUCAGAAGUGAAGUUGUGCAAAUCCAUCAUUGACACUAGCUUCAAGGUUACCUCGGGGGAGCAGAAUGUACCCCUGCCAGAGAGCUGGAUAGAUGAUGAUGGGGACAGAAAUUCUGGGGGAGUUGUAAAUGGCAGCCACUGCCUCUAUAGGAAACCCAAAGGGAACACAGCAGAAGAGGAGGUGGUGGAGGAGCCACUGCCCUCUCGAAGGGUUCAAUGUCAUUCUGCAGACACAACCAAAUAACUUUUUCUUCCCUGCUGCUCCUCCAUUUGAAAUGACAGCCCCGAGCUCGCUUUUUCCUUGAUUGUGUAACUCUGAUUACAGACAAGGCCAAGGCAAUCCCAGGGCAUUACUACAAAGCUAAGGGGUCCCCAAAGAACUAAAGAGUCAGCUCCACAAAAAUCCCGAUUCCUAGCAUGAAACUGAAAUAUGAAACCAAACGGGCAUAGAAAAGGUAUGUGCAUUCGAAUCACAUAGCAGUGACUGGAGUCCUGAGCUGUGUCUGAAGACUGUGAGAUCACGUUUGGAGCUGCUGAUUGGUUUUCAGUGAUGGCCCUGUUGCACAGUGCCGUGAGACUUAGCUCCAUGGCCAAAGACGAUGGUAUCCCCUAGGAGCCCUGUGAGGUUGCUGCUGUUCUCUUAAGACACCAGGUAGCCAUCUGAUCCUCCCUGAGCAAACUAACUGGGCAGACAGGUUUAUUAAACCUCUGUUGGUCCGACUUACAUGAAACAAGAGAGUUAUUUUGUUGUUGUUGUUUUGUUUUGUUUUAAAUUAAACCUGUCUUUGGAGCCUCCUGCUCUUAGUUUACAAGUCUUCUUUGCACACUCUAAUAUUUUAAGAAGCAGCAAACAUUAACUGAGGGUCUA